AUUGAACGCUGGCGGCAUGCUUUACACAUGCAAGUCGAACGGCAGCGCGGGCUUCGGCCUGGCGGCGAGUGGCGAACGGGUGAGUAAUAUAUCGGAACGUACCCAAGAGUGGGGGAUAACGUAGCGAAAGUUACGCUAAUACCGCAUACGAUCUAAGGAUGAAAGCAGGGGAUCGCAAGACCUUGUGCUCCUGGAGCGGCCGAUAUCUGAUUAGCUAGUUGGUGAGGUAAAGGCUCACCAAGGCAACGAUCAGUAGCUGGUCUGAGAGGACGACCAGCCACACUGGAACCGAGACACGGUCCAGACUCCUACGGAGGCAGCAGUGGGGAAUUUUGGACAAUGGGGGCAACCCUGAUCCAGCAAUGCCGCGUGAGUGAAGAAGGCCUC
rnacentral:rRNA from 1 species